AGCGAACGCUGGCGGCAGGCCUAACACAUGCAAGUCGAACGAAGUCUUCGGACUUAGUGGCGGACGGGUGAGUAACACGUGGGAACGUACCUUUUGGUUCGGAACAACUCAGGGAAACUUGAGCUAAUACCGGAUGAGCCCUUAGGGGGAAAGAUUUAUCGCCGAAAGAGCGGCCCGCGUUAGAUUAGCUAGUUGGUGAGGUAAAGGCUCACCAAGGCUACGAUCUAUAGCUGGUCUGAGAGGAUGAUCAGCCACACUGGGACUGAGACACGGCCCAGACUCCUACGGGAGGCAGCAGUGGGGAAUCUUGCGCAAUGGGCGAAAGCCUGACGCAGCCAUGCCGCGUGAAUGAUGAAGGUCUUAGGAUUGUAAAAUUCUUUUACCAGGGACGAUAAUGACGGUACCAUCAGAAUAAGCACCGGCUAACUCCGUGCCAGCCGCCGCAGUAACAC
rnacentral:rRNA from 1 species